CAGCCGCCGCGGUAAUACGUAGGGUGCAAGCGUUAAUCGGAAUUACUGGGCGUAAAGCGUGCGCAGGCGGUGAUGUAAGACAGUUGUGAAAUCCCCGGGCUCAACCUGGGAACUGCAUCUGUGACUGCAUUGCUGGAGUGCGGCAGAGGGGGAUGGAAUUCCGCGUGUAGCCGUGAAAUGCGUAGAUAUGCGGAGGAACACCGAUGGCGAAGGCAGCCCCCUGGGCCAACACUGACGCUCAUGCACGAAAGCGUGGGGAGCAAACAGGAUUAGAGACCCGAGUAGUCCCUGUCUCUUAUAC
rnacentral:rRNA from 1 species